UGUGGUGUACCGUGAGUGUUCACCAUACGAACCUGCUGGUGAGAGGUGUGUUGUGGUGUUCCGCGAGUGUUCACCAUACGAACCUGCUGAUGAGAGGUGUGGUGUACCGUGAGUGUCCACCACUCACGGUGCACCACAGAGGUGUGAGAGGUGAGAGGUGUGGUGUACCAUGAGUGUUCACCACUCACGGUACAUCACAGAGGUGUGAGAGGUGAGAGGUGUGGUGUACCGUGAGUGUUCACCAUACAAACCUGCUGGGGAGAGGUGUGGUGUACCGUGAGUGUUCACCACUCACGGUACAUCACAGAGGUGUGAGAGGUGAGAGGUGUGGUGUACUGUGAGUGUUCACCAUACAAACCUGCUGGUGAGAGGUGUGGUGUACCGUGAGUGUUCACCACUCACGGUACAUCACAGAGGUGUGAGAGGUGUGUGAUGUGGUGUACCGUGAGUGUUCACCAUACGAACCUGCUGGUGAGAGGUGUGGUGUACCGUGAGUGUUCACCACUCACGGUACAUCACAGAGGUGUGAGAGGUGAGAGGUGUGGUGUACCGUGAGCGUUCACCAUAUGAACCUGCUGGGGAGAGGUGUGGUGUACCGUGAGUGUUCACCAUACGAACCCUGUGAGAGGUGUGAUGUACCCUGAGUGUUCAUCACUCAGGGUACAUCACAGAGGUGUGAGAGGUGAGAGGUGUGGUGGUGUACCGUGAGUGUUCACCAUACGCACCUGCUGGUUAGAGGUGUGGUGUACUGUGAGUGU